rnacentral:rRNA from 1 species
AGAGUUUGAUCAUGGCUCAGAUUGAACGCUGGCGGCAGGCCUAACACAUGCAAGUCGAGCGGUAGCACAGAGAGCUUGCUCUCGGGUGACGAGCGGCGGACGGGUGAGUAAUGUCUGGGAAACUGCCUGAUGGAGGGGGAUAACUACUGGAAACGGUAGCUAAUACCGCAUAAUGUCGCAAGACCAAAGUGGGGGACCUUCGGGCCUCAUGCCAUCAGAUGUGCCCAGAUGGGAUUAGCUUGUAGGUGGGGUAACGGCUCACCUAGGCGACGAUCCCUAGCUGGUCUGAGAGGAUGACCAGCCACACUGGAACUGAGACACGGUCCAGACUCCUACGGGAGGCAGCAGUGGGGAAUAUUGCACAAUGGGCGCAAGCCUGAUGCAGCCAUGCCGCGUGUGUGAAGAAGGCCUUCGGGUUGUAAAGCACUUUCAGCGGGGAGGAAGGCGUUAAGGUUAAUAACCUUGGCGAUUGACGUUACCCGCAGAAGAAGCACCGGCUAACUCCGUGCCAGCAGCCGCGGUAAUACGGAGGGUGCAAGCGUUAAUCGGAAUUACUGGGCGUAAAGCGCACGCAGGCGGUCUGUCAAGUCGGAUGUGAAAUCCCCGGGCUCAACCUGGGAACUGCAUUCGAAACUGGCAGGCUAGAGUCUUGUAGAGGGGGGUAGAAUUCCAGGUGUAGCGGUGAAAUGCGUAGAGAUCUGGAGGAAUACCGGUGGCGAAGGCGGCCCCCUGGACAAAGACUGACGCUCAGGUGCGAAAGCGUGGGGAGCAAACAGGAUUAGAUACCCUGGUAGUCCACGCCGUAAACGAUGUCGAUUUGGAGGUUGUGCCCUUGAGGCGUGGCUUCCGGAGCUAACGCGUUAAAUCGACCGCCUGGGGAGUACGGCCGCAAGGUUAAAACUCAAAUGAAUUGACGGGGGCCCGCACAAGCGGUGGAGCAUGUGGUUUAAUUCGAUGCAACGCGAAGAACCUUACCUGGUCUUGACAUCCACAGAACUUAGCAGAGAUGCUUUGGUGCCUUCGGGAACUGUGAGACAGGUGCUGCAUGGCUGUCGUCAGCUCGUGUUGUGAAAUGUUGGGUUAAGUCCCGCAACGAGCGCAACCCUUAUCCUUUGUUGCCAGCGGUCCGGCCGGGAACUCAAAGGAGACUGCCAGUGAUAAACUGGAGGAAGGUGGG